rnacentral:rRNA from 1 species
UAUUUGUAGGAGGGUUUGAUUAUGGCCCUAGAUUUAUUAACAAAAUGCUUCUCAUGAUAUUUGCCAUAGACUUGAAUAUACGUGUUAUAGUAUUCAACAUCAGUGGGGAGAAUUGGUUAAUAAAGGAAACUUUAACCCAGCUUUUUGGUAGCCUCGGGGCUAAUUGAUGAAUGCCAGCAGCCGCGGUUAGAUUCAGUUCGAGUAUAAAUUUUAACGGAUUGGUUAGAGUCAAAGUUAAGUGAUUAAAACUAUAAAAAAACUAUAGGUGCAGUGUAAUGUUAACGGUCUUUUGUGGUUAUAUUCCUGAAGUUUUAGUAAGUUUCUAACGAAUCUAUGAAGUGAAACCAGGAUUAGAUACCCUGUUAUCCAUAGUUUAAAAAAGAAGUUCCACUUAACUAAACAUUUGGUUGUCAAAGAGAAAUAAAUAGGCGGUGUCUGAGCUAGAAAACAGGGGAUCCUGGGUGUUAAAGGACAGUCCACCUACAUUUGGGCCUUAGAUUAUUAGUGCGUGUGUAUGGUUGUUUACUCUAAUAUAGUAAGUGUCCGGGUAGAAAUUUUAGAAAAUAAGCCAAGACUAAAUUUUUGCUGUGAACUUAAGUUCUCAAAAAGGUUUAGUUUGGCUUUGAUGUGGUUACUAAAUUGGUUUGUGGCCUUUGUAACGGAGUCCAAAAAAUAAUUCAGAUUGACAUGCAGCUUAUGCUAAGGUUAGCCUGGGAUACAGAUGUAACUAAACAAUAAAUAGAUAUUCAUUUUACUUGAGGUAAACUGGGUAAACCAACGAACAAGUUAAGGAAACUUUGCUUUAAAGAAGGACUUGUAAGUAAGAGUUAAAAAUAAAAUGACUCUGAAUACAAUCAGAUGAGUACUAAUCGCCCGUCGCUCGCGGGGAAACCUGUGAAAAGUCGUAACAAGGUAGCAGUAACGGAAGUUGUUGCUAGAUUAUAAUGU